rnacentral:rRNA from 1 species
GACGAACGCUGGCGGCGUGCUUAACACAUGCAAGUCGAACGGUAAGGCCCUUCGGGGUACACGAGUGGCGAACGGGUGAGUAACACGUGGGUGAUCUGCCCUGCACUUCGGGAUAAGCCUGGGAAACUGGGUCUAAUACCGGAUAGGACCACUGCCUGCAUGGGUGGUGGUGGAAAGCUUUUGCGGUGUGGGAUGGGCCCGCGGCCUUUCAGCUUGGUGGUGGGGUGAUGGCCUACCAAGGCGACGACGGGUAGCCGGCCUGAGAGGGUGACCGGCCACACUGGGACUGAGAUACGGCCCAGACUCCUACGGGAGGCAGCAGUGGGGUAUAUUGCACAAUGGGCGCAAGCCUGAUGCAGCGACGCCGCGUGAGGGAUGACGGCCUUCGGGUUGUAAACCUCUUUCAGCACCGACGAAGCGCAAGUGACGGUAGGUGCAGAAGAAGGACCGGCCAACUACGUGCCAGCAGCCGCCGUAA